CGAGCAAAAAACAACAUUCAAAGACAUAACAUUUACAACGAGACCGAAGACGACUGGUUCAACAGUCCUACCCCAAGGGAGAGAGAAUGUGGGUCAAGGAAAAGAGCAAAUUAGUCUUCAGACCAUGAAAGAGAACAAAAUGACUACGCCUAGUAGAAGCUAACGGGGAGAACAUGCAAACCAUGCACACAUAACAGAGCCUGGCCUGGAU